UGGGGAAUAUUGCACAAUGGGCGCAAGCCUGAUGCAGCCAUGCCGCGUGUGUGAAGAAGGCCUUCGGGUUGUAAAGCACUUUCAGCGAGGAGGAAGGUGGUGAGCUUAAUACGCUCAUCAAUUGACGUUACUCGCAGAAGAAGCACCGGCUAACUCCGUGCCAGCAGCCGCGGUAAUACGGAGGGUGCAAGCGUUAAUCGGAAUUACUGGGCGUAAAGCGCACGCAGGCGGUUUGUUAAGUCAGAUGUGAAAUCCCCGGGCUCAACCUGGGAACUGCAUUUGAAACUGGCAAGCUAGAGUCUCGUAGAGGGGGGUAGAAUUCCAGGUGUAGCGGUGAAAUGCGUAGAGAUCUGGAGGAAUACCGGUGGCGAAGGCGGCCCCCUGGACGAAGACUGGCGCUCAGGUGCGAAAGCGUGGGGAGCAAAACAGGAUUAGAUACCCUGGUAGUCCACGCUGUAAAACGAUGUCGAUUUUGGAGGUUGUGCCCUUGAGGCGUGGCUUCCGGAGCUAACGCGUUAAAUCGACCGCCUGGGGAGUACGGCC
rnacentral:rRNA from 1 species